rnacentral:tRNA from 1 species
GGUGAGAUGGCCGAGCGGUUAAGGCGCCAGACUAAGGUUGAUCGGUCGAUCGAUCAUGGACCAAAUCACGUGGUGAUUAUAUAAUCUGGUCCGAAAGGGCGUGGGUUCGAAUCCCACUCUCAUCA